CACCUCUAGCAUUACUAGUAUUAGAGGCACUGCCUGCCCAGUGACACACGUUUAACGGCCGCGGUACCCUGACCGUGCAAAGGUAGCAUAAUCACUUGUUCUUUAAAUGGGGACUCGCAUGAAAGGCACCACGAGGGUUUAACUGUCUCUUACUUUUAACCAGUGAAAUUGACCUGCCCGCGAAGAGGCGGGCAUAAAAUAAUAAGACGAGAAGACCCUAUGGAGCUUUAAUCUAUUAAUGCAAUCAAAAACUACACAAACCCACGGACCUUUAAACUACUACACCUGCAUUAAAAAUUUUGGUUGGGGCGACCUCGGAGCACAACAAAACCUCCGAAUAACACAUGCUAAGACCACACAAGUCAAAGCGAACUAAUACUUACAAUUGAUCCAAUAAUUUGAUCAACGGAACAAGUUACCCUAGGGAUAACAGCGCAAUUCUAUUCUAGAGUCCAUAUCGACAAUAGAGCUUACGACCUUGAUGUUGGAUCAGGACAUCCUAAUGGUGCAGCAGCUAUCAAGGGUUCGUUUGUUCAACGAUUAAAGUCCU
rnacentral:rRNA from 1 species